UUCUCUUAAUGGAUAAGGUUUUUCUACUAACAUAUAGAAAUUUUUAAAGGAAGAAAAGCCAGAAAUACCCAAUAUCUUGUCCCAACAAGAUAUUGGGUAUUUCUUUGUUUAUUCUUAAUCUUUCUAUUCUGAAUUCAGUUAACGACGAGAUUUAGUAUCCUUUCUUGCACUUUCAUAACUCGUGAAAUGCCGAGUAGGCACGAAUUCUCCCAAUUUGCGACCUACCAUAGGAUUUGUUAUGUAAAUAGGUAUAUGUUCCUUUCCAUUAUGAAUCGCGAUUGUAUGGCCAACCAUUGCGGGUAGAAUGCUAGAUGCCCGGGACCACGUUACUAUUGUUUCUUUCUCCUCCUUCAUAUUGACCUUUUCGAUUUUUGCCAAUAAAUGACGAGCUACAAAAGGAUUCGUUUUUUUUCGUGUCACAGCUGAUUACUCCUUUUUUCAUUUUAAAGAGUGGCAUCCUAUGUCCACUAUCUCGAUCGAGGUAUGGAGGUCAGAAUAAAUAGAAUAAUGAUGAAUGGAAAAASKAGAAAAUCCUUUAGCUGGAU
rnacentral:misc_RNA from 1 species